rnacentral:rRNA from 1 species
UGGGAACGCGAAGAACCUUACCUACUCUUGACAUCCAGAGAACUUAGCAGAGAUGCUUUGGUGCCUUCGGGAACUCUGAGACAGGUGCUGCAUGGCUGUCGUCAGCUCGUGUUGUGAAAUGUUGGGUUAAGUCCCGCAACGAGCGCAACCCUUAUCCUUUGUUGCCAGCGGUUCGGCCGGGAACUCAAAGGAGACUGCCAGUGAUAAACUGGAGGAAGGUGGGGAUGACGUCAAGUCAUCAUGGCCCUUACGAGUAGGGCUACACACGUGCUACAAUGGCAUAUACAAAGAGAAGCGACCUCGCGAGAGCAAGCGGACCUCAUAAAGUAUGUCGUAGUCCGGAUUGGAGUCUGCAACUCGACUCCAUGAAGUCGGAAUCGCUAGUAAUCGUGGAUCAGAAUGCCACGGUGAAUACGUUCCCGGGUCUUGUACACACCG